rnacentral:lncRNA from 1 species
GUGCCUAGAAUCAUGAAGCUCUAUGUUUUUGCCUUUAUUUUGGCUUUUCUGGCUGCAAUAGCUAGAGGGGACAGUGAUUCAUCUGAUGAGAGUAAAUAUUUUAAAGAGUUACGUAGACGUGAUAGAUAUCCAUAUCAACCUCCAUUUCCACGACCAAAUUAUCCAUCAAGAUUUUAUCCAAUGCCAUUUCCACCACCAAAUUAUCCAGUACCACCAUAUUAUCCACCCUAUGCAGAUCCUUUUCCUGCAAAUGCUCCACAAGACGUGCCUCAAUAAACACAGCUGCACAACUGACUCAAUCUGUUUGCGUGAUGGAUCUACAGAUCUACAAAUUGGUGAAUCUCUCGAUUGGCAUCCUUCUUGGCAGCUAUUCUUAACAGCUAACUAGUGGCUCCAAACUUCUUAGAUUAUGCUGAAUCUUUUCCCCAAUGGAUUAAUGCUUUCCUUCAUAUUUUCUCUAUAAUAAAUAGAGCUCCCAGCAUAUUAAAUGUCUAUUC